CACAUUGAUAUGUCAGAGUGAUGAUACGGCAGAGAUUUGGUGUGGAGUGGAUAGCGUGGCUAAGGAAUUCUUUCCACAAUUAAAAACUUAUUUGCUAAGGGCAUUAUAUAGCAUUCAGUCAGAGAAGUCUGCAUUCUUAUUACAAGAAACACUGAGAGAUCACUCACUGAUGAUGAAGGAUCAAAGAAAGAUGAUUACCCAGGAUGGAUGAGUUGCCUCAAAACACAGCUUUUCAUCCUUAAUAGCACAUAUUAUGGAUUCAGUAAAGCCUGAGAAAUUUCAGCCUUCGCAAAAUCACAAAAAGCCCUCUGAAGGUCACAAUAAGAAACUGAGCAAAUGUUCAGCUUGGUGGGACACAAUGUUGUACAAAUACAUGCUAAACAUAAAUGAGAAGAAGUUGAAAUUAAAAUAAAAACCUUCAAUAACUGGAAGAAAGAAGUAAUGCUACCAGAUUUACCAACAGGAAAGAAGCUGAUCUUGUACCCCAUUGCACAUUCCUGAUUUGCAAUUGACAGCCUGAUAGACUUUAUCUUCACACAAAUUUGAGCAGUUGUUCAAAAUGAAGUACACCAGUUGAUCCAUGUGGACAUCAGGGACUCAGAGGCAAUGGGGUAAAGAAUUAAAACCAAAGAAUGGGAUGUCUUUGCAAAAGAAUUUGUUGAUAUGCUGCAUGGACAGGUGGUCAGUUAUUCCAGCAUGUGAUGGAGCAUGAAGGAAGCCUACCUGAAAACUUUUAAGUGCAAUCGCCUUUGUAAAAGGCUAAAUAAAACUGUUACGUGA